ACACUGGUAACGAGCUUCCUGUUUCAAUAGGAGACUUGCUCUACUUCCGGAGGAAGUCGGAAUAAGGUUGGUGUCAGGAUCACGAAGACCUUUUUGUUCGUGAGAAGCUCAGAAGACUCUUAAGGUUGGAAAGAGGCUUGGAACCUACCUGUUUGAGGUGAUUCCGACCUUAGUUUCCGGGCACGUCUAGAAAGAAUUAAGGUGAUGAUGACGACCACCUGAUUCCCCGAGGCCUUGUCAAAUCUAACGACAGCAGUUUCUAUGAAUUGUCCGUAGUCUUUAUUAUUUUUUGCUCCUUUUCCUUAAAUAUCAAGUGGUAAUUAGCGGUUGACGUGUUUGACAAGGAAGACUUGGGACUGUUGACCAACAGGCUCCCGAGAUUGUGAGCGGUUCCCCGAUCUGAAAGAAGAUAUUGUCGGCCAAAUCAAUGCCGCUUGCUUCGGUGUUCCAGCCGCAUGACAAGCGAGUUCUCGGAGCACUUCAUAUCUGGUCCGGCGGCAAUCCUCGUCUUCUUAUGUCGUCGUCUCAUUUACAUGCCACGGUAAGCAAUGCACCAGUCGUAUAGACCUUGUGUUUUUUUCCUUCUCUUCACUUCAUUCAUAAUAAUAAUAAUAAUAAUAAUAAUAAAAUGACGAGAUGAUUCCAUUCCAGCAGUAUUCAUUCAUAUAGUUCUGGUGAUCUUUCUUUUGAUGAUGACGAUCGAAAUCUUCAUCAGAAAAGAAACUAAACACUCUACUCGAUGCCUUCAUUGUCCGAACCCAAAAUUAAGCAAAAGAGAACCGAGGAGUCAAACGACCUCACCUGCAAAAUUCCACCUCUCUAUGUUAUGCCGGUCGGUAUCUUCGCCUAAAGGAGGCCUCACUUCAAAUAAAUUACUUCGUUUGCCAUCUUCCUCGAAGCUAUCUAUCUCCGGCAGCGAUCGACGGGGCUCGGGUAGAGCUAACCAGCUGAAGAGGGCUCUGUGGAGAGAGAACCAGAAGGCGAAACGCUCUGCUGUGGAGGAGGACUGAUGCAUUGCUGCUGAAGCCGGACGCAUGAUGAGCCUCCCUCCGCACCCGGUGGACUCGCCAUGGCUGAAGAAGCAUUAGGCAGCUUUCCAGCGUGCAAUCGAUAUUUCUGAAAUAGCAGGAGCAGAACGUCGGAAAACGCCAUCUCACGACAAGGAUUAGGAAGCAGUAAGGUAAGUAAUCCACGAGGAGGAGGAGGAGGAGGAGGAACUGGGUAGCCACCUGCAGAUGGCUUUUCACCUCAUCGUUUGUGAGCCCCUCCACCUUCAUCACUUCCCGUAUCUGCUUGGGAGUAGCCACUGCAUCAACGAACACGACACUCGGAUCCAAGCCAAAGAAUAGUAGUGUAUUCGGGGAGUAAGUAGAACAUGAUGGAUCGACACCAGCAAAGAGAAAAAGGGGACAAUUCUGCAAAAGCCACUCGCCUUGGGCACCGCCGAGCUGUUGGAUGGCGAGCGUGAACCGCCGAUGCAGCUCCUGCGACCAACACCUCCUCGCCUUCCUCGACGGCUGAUGCUGGGACUGGAAGCCAAGGCGGCCGCACACCGUCGCUGGAGCUGGAGACGACUCCGGUGCUCUGCCGACGCUUUUGGGGCCGCGACCGCAGCCACGGCGGUCGGGCAACGCGGCGGCAGGCUUCUUCUCCUCGGAGCUCGCAGAAACCGUCGACAGCGCUUCAAACGGUAAGAAAGCGCCGUCGCCGCCGGGGCUCUUGCAUUCCAAGAACAAGUUCUCCUUCCCCUGCCUGCGUCCCUCCUGCCGCGACCAGAAGUGGAAGAUCCAUUUAUCGCUCCAGAGCUGGGCGGAGCUCAUCCAGUUCAUCUUGUCGUCUACUUUUACCUCUCCAUCCUCCUCGACUCUACUCUCCACGGGUAACAACUCCCGGAGAACACGCCCGAAACACCCGCCGCCGCAUCGCUCCG